rnacentral:rRNA from 1 species
AACACAAAAAUCAGGCAGUGGAGCGUUUUGGGGUGGGGUGACUGCGUACCUUUUGUAUAAUGGGUCAGCGACUUAUAUUCUGUAGCAAGGUUAACCGCAUAGGGGAGCCGGAGGGAAACCGAGUCUUAAUUGGGCGUUAAGUUGCAGGGUAUAGACCCGAAACCCGGUGAUCUAGCCAUGGGCAGGUUGAAGGUUGGGUAACACUAACUGGAGGACCGAACCGACUAAUGUUGAAAAAUUAGCGGAUGACCUGUGGCUGGGGGUGAAAGGCCAAUCAAACCGGGAGAUAGCUGGUUCUCCCCGAAAGCUAUUUAGGUAGCGCCUCGUGAAUUCAUCUCCGGGGGUAGAGCACUGUUUCGGCCAGGGGGCCAUCCCGGCUUACCAAUCCGAUGCAAACUGCGAAUACCGGAGAAUGUUAUCACGGGAGACACACGGCGGGUGCUAACGUCCGUCGUGAAGAGGGAAACAACCCAGACCGCCAGCUAAGGUCCCAAAGUCAUGGUUAAGUGGGAAACGAUGUGGGAAGGCCCAGACAGCCAGGAUGUUGGCUUAGAAGCAGCCAUCAUUUAAAGAAAGCGUAAUAGCUCACUGGUCGAGUCGGCCUGCGCGGAAGAUGUAACGGGGCUAAACCAUGCACCGAAGCUGCGGCAGCGACACUGAUGUGUUGUUGGGUAGGGGAGCGUUCUGUAAGCCGUUGAAGGUGGCCUGUGAGGGUUGCUGGAGGUAUCAGAAGUGCGAAUGCUGACAUAAGUAACGAUAAAGCGGGUGAAAAGCCCGCUCGCCGGAAGACCAAGGGUUCCUGUCCAACGUUAAUCGGGGCAGGGUGAGUCGACCCCUAAGGCGAGGCCGAAAGGCGUAGUCGAUGGGAAACGGGUUAAUAUUCCCGUACUUGGUGUUACUGCGAAGGGGGGACGGAGAAGGCUAUGUUGGCCGGGCGACGGUUGUCCCGGUUUAAGCGUGUAGGUGUGUGUUCCAGGUAAAUCCGGUUCACUUUAACACUGAGGCGUGACGACGAGGCACCACGGUGCUGAAGCAACAAAUGCCCUGCUUCCAGGAAAAGCCUCUAAGCCUCAGGUAACAUCAAAUCGUACCCCAAACCGACACAGGUGGUCAGGUAGAGAAUACCAAGGCGCUUGAGAGAACUCGGGUGAAGGAACUAGGCAAAAUGGUGCCGUAACUUCGGGAGAAGGCACGCUGACACGUAGGUGAAGUGGUUUACCCAUGGAGCUGAAGUCAGUCGAAGAUACCAGCUGGCUGCAACUGUUUAUUAAAAACACAGCACUGUGCAAACACGAAAGUGGACGUAUACGGUGUGACGCCUGCCCGGUGCCGGAAGGUUAAUUGAUGGGGUCAGCGCAAGCGAAGCUCCUGAUCGAAGCCCCGGUAAACGGCGGCCGUAACUAUAACGGUCCUAAGGUAGCGAAAUUCCUUGUCGGGUAAGUUCCGACCUGCACGAAUGGCGUAAUGAUGGCCAGGCUGUCUCCACCCGGGACUCAGUGAAAUUGAACUCGCUGUGAAGAUGCAGUGUACCCGCGGCAAGACGGAAAGACCCCGUGAACCUUUACUAUAGCUUGACACUGAACACUGGUCCUUGAUGUGCAGGAUAGGUGGGAGGCUUUGAAGUGUGGACGCCAGUCUGCAUGGAGCCAUCCUUGAAAUACCACCCUUUAAUGGCUGGUGUUCUAACGUGGGCCCGUGAACCGGGUUGCGGACAGUGUCUGGUGGGUAGUUUGACUGGGGCGGUCUCCUCCUAAAGAGUAACGGAGGAGCACGAAGGUUGGCUAAUCCUGGUCGGACAUCAGGAGGUUAGUGCAAUGGCAUAAGCCAGCUUGACUGCGAGCGUGACGGCGCGAGCAGGUGCGAAAGCAGGUCAUAGUGAUCCGGUGGUUCUGAAUGGAAGGGCCAUCGCUCAACGGAUAAAAGGUACUCCGGGGAUAACAGGCUGAUACCGCCCAAGAGUUCAUAUCGACGGCGGUGUUUGGCACCUCGAUGUCGGCUCAUCACAUCCUGGGGCUGAAGUAGGUCCCAAGGGUAUGGCUGUUCGCCAUUUAAAGUGGUACGCGAGCUGGGUUUAGAACGUCGUGAGACAGUUCGGUCCCUAUCUGCCGUGGGCGCUGGAAGAUUGAGGGGGGCUGCUCCUAGUACGAGAGGACCGGAGUGGACGCAUCACUGGUGUUCGGGUUGUCAUGCCAAUGGCACUGCCCGGUAGCUACAUGCGGAAGAGAUAAGUGCUGAAAGCAUCUAAGCACGAAACUUGCCCCGAGAUGAAUCUUCCCUGAGCCUUUAAGGCUCCUGAAGGAACGUUGAAGACGACGACGUUGAUAGGCCGGGUGUGUAAGCGCAGCGAUGCGUUGAGCUAACCGGUACUAAUGAACCGUGAGGCUUAACCUUACAACGCCGAAG